rnacentral:rRNA from 1 species
CCAGGCGACUGUUUAGCAAAAACACAGGUCUCUGCUAAAUCGAAAGAUGACGUAUAGGGGCUGACACCUGCCCAGUGCUGGAAGGUUAAGAGGAGUGCUUAGAUAGACGCAAGUCGAUUAUUCGAAGGUACGAAUUGAAGCCCCAGUGAACGGCGGCCGUAACUAUAACGGUCCUAAGGUAGCGAAAUUCCUUGUCAGGUAAGUUCUGACCCGCACGAAAGGUGUAAUGAUUUGGGAGCUGUCUCGACAAUGUACUCGGCGAAAUUGUAGUACUAGUGAAGAUGCUAGUUACCUGCGACAAGACAGAAAGACCCCAUGGAGCUUUACUGCAGCUUGAUACUGGGUUUCGGUAAUUUAUGUACAGGAUAGGUGGGAUGCUAAGAAGUAUGUGCGCCAGCGCAUAUGGAGCAGACGUUGGGAUACCACCCUUAAAUUACUGGAAUUCUAACUAUAAGUCCUAAGCGGGCUUGAGGACAAUGUCAGGCGGGCAGUUUGACUGGGGCGGUCGCCUCCUAAAGAGUAACGGAGGCGCGCAAAGGUUUCCUCAGCGCGGACAGAAAUCGCGCGAAAGAGUGCAAAGGCAGAAGGAAGCUUAACUGAGAGACAGACAUGUCGACCAGAUACGAAAGUAGGUCUUAGUGAUCCGGUGGUUGUAAGUGGAAAUGCCAUCGCUCAACGGACAAAAGUUACCCUGGGGAUAACAGGCUUAUCUCCCCCAAGAGUUCACAUCGACGGGGAGGUUUGGCACCUCGAUGUCGGCUCAUCACAUCCUGGAGCGGAAGUACGUUCCAAGGGUUGGGCUGUUCGCCCAUUAAAGUGGUACGCGAGCUGGGUUCAGAACGUCGUGAGACAGUUCGGUCCUUAUCUGUCGCAGGCGAAGGAUAUUUGAAGGGAGUUGACCUUAGUACGAGAGGACCAGGUUGAAGGAACCGAUGGUGCACCAGUUGUACUACCAAGUGCAUAGCUGGAUAGCUAAGUUCCGAAGGGAUAAACGCUGAAAGCAUCUAAGUGUGAAGCCCACCCUAAGAUAAGAUAUCCCAUAUCGAAAGAUAGUAAGAUUCCAAUAAGACUAAUUGGUAGAUAGGUUGGAGGUGUAAGUAUAGUGAUAUAUUGAGCUGACCAAUACUAAUAAAUCGAGGGCUUAACUAU